rnacentral:rRNA from 1 species
CCUACGGGAGGCAGCAGUGGGGAAUAUUGGGCAAUGGAGGCAACUCUUACCCAGCAAUGCCGCGUGAAUGAAGAAGGUCUUCGGAUUGUAAAGUUCUUUAAUUGGGACGAAAAAAAUAACGGUUCCCAAGGAAUAAGGCCCGGCUAACUAAGGGCCCGCAGCCGGGGUAAAAGGUAGGGGGGAAGCGUUGUUCGGAAUGACUGGGCGUAAAGGGUGUGUAGGCGGUGUGGCAAGUGAGAAGUGAAAUACCUAGAGCUUAAAUCAGGUGCUGCUUCUAAAACUGCUAUACUUGAGUGCAGUAGAGGAAAGUGGAAUUCCUAGUGUAGCGGUGGAAUGCGUAGAUAUUAGGAGGAACAUCAGUGGCGAAGGCGACUUUCUGGACUGUAACUGACGCUGAGGCACGAAAGUGUGGGGAGCAAACAGGAUUAGAUACCCCUGUAGUC